CUUCAUCAACAAAAAAAAAAAAAAAAAAUCCCUUUCAUCCUCACCGAAUGCCAUCACCGCCAUCAUCCAGAUCAAAUUUUUUUUUGAAAAGCUUCAGAUUUUGAACAUCAUCAUCAUCUUCAACAUCAUCUUCAUCAACAAAAUCUGGUGGUCGCCUGCGACCCUCUUCCCCCUUCCUUCUCUCUUCUCUUUUUCCUUCUCUCUCUCUCUCUUCCUUCGUCCCUCUCCCUCUGUCUGCUUCAGAUAUAACAACAAUGAUAGAGGGCCCUAAUUUCUGUGGCUCAAAUGGCUCGAAUUUGCCAAAACGACGUCGUUUUGAGUACAAAACAACAUCAAAAUUGCCAAAACGACGUCGUUUUGACAAAUUUGAGCCAUUUGAGUCACCGAAAUUAGGGCCUUCAAACAUUUUCCCAGAUCUAAUUGAAAAAAACAAAAAUUACAAAACGGCGUCGUUUUAUAUAUUCGAGCCAAUUUCGGGCCAAGAUUUUCGAGCAACGAAGUAUUUUCCGUUAGUGUAUUCAAAUCGGAUUAAGGACUCGCCAAUAAAACCCAAACCCUCUCUCUUCUUCACUCCUCCUCCUCCUCCUCCUCCUUCAAAACCCUAGAAAACGAACCAGACCUUCAAAUACCCUCAUAGAUCUUCAUACAUUCUUUGCAUUUGAGAUUAAAAUCACACAGAUCUUGUAUUCAUACGUCUCUCUCUCUCUCUCUCUCUCUCUCUCUCUCUCUCUCUUCAUCGGCGUCUCACACAAACGCACGAGCACCACCACCGACCACCACAAGCUUCUGUCACUCUAAACUUGGAGUUCGAUUCCGACCUUGGGGUUCAAUUCUGAUUCUAAGCCCCUUCCACAGAUUCGAUAAAUUCGGUGUUUGCAUAUCUAUUCGAUUAAUUCGAUUCUAAGCCUUGAAUUUGUGUUCCAAUUCUCCUCUCUCAUCUCUCUUUGAUUUUGAUUUCUAGGGUUUUCAUGCCCUUAUUGAAUGUGUUUCACUUCUGUGAUUGCUCGUUUUGGGAUUGAACAAAAAGGUCCUCUUCGCGAUCGCUUCAGUUGAAGUCUACUUCGAAGAACGUUUUCACGAUUUCAGAAGCCGUCGAUUUGUGCACCAGGCAAAGGUUGAUGCAGUUUGCUUCAACAAACAUGUAUGAACGAAUUGACAUCCCUCAGAUCUCCUUGGGGCUUUUGAAUGGCAUGGUCAAAUCUGAUUUUCCUAAUGAGAAGUCCCAUGCUCAAUGGAAGAAGAGACAAGUAAAUAUUCUUGAAGAACUGUUAUGUUCUGCAAAUAAUAGAACAACUGAACAGCAAACAAUUGGAAGCUUGCUUACAAAAGUAAAAAAUUCAAAGGAAUGGGACAUCAUAAAGUCCCCUUCUGAACGCGCUGAGGUCCUAUUAGCGAUCAGGGAGUUAGUUUUAGUGUUUUCAUCUGCUUGAAUCUUUCCCAGUUCAAGAGUCAGACGUGAUUCACAGAGAAAUCCUGAAAUUGAAGAUAGAGGAUUGCAACAAAAGAGCAAUGGUACAUUAGAGCAAGCUAGCUCUGUUGAUGUAGUAUUAGUCAAAGACGAAGGCAAUUCUAUAGAUGAUGAAAGAGGCCAAGUGCUCCAAACUGCACAAGUGGCUAUGAAUAUGCUUGAUAUGACCAUGCCUGGUACUCUAACUGAAGAACAGAAGCAGAAGUGAAAGGGCCCUAUCUUAAGCUCUUAGGGACUACUUGAUGUAAUGAAGAUCCAAGCUUAUGGUACUAAUAGGUAGAGGGUGGAAUCACAUAAUGGGAUUAUUUGAUAUGGUGAUGAUAAAAGAUAAUCAUUUAUUAGUAGCUGGAGGUGUCAACGAUGCUCUUAAUUUAAACUAUUCAUCUAUCAUAUAUCAUGAAGGGACCUAUCAGGAUGUCCACCAAGGUUCUUCAUAUCACUACCAGGAAGUCCCCUUGUGGUGAAGGUACUAAGUUUAGAAAUAUCUUAAUCUAUUACUUGAUGUUAUUAUAGUGGUUGGUAGUUUUGAUUAAAAGAGCAUACAACUGCACUUGUAACAUUUUCCAUUGGAUUGUGAAUUUGUUUCUAUGUUUAACUGUUCACUGAGGUUUCCAUGUAUUUAUGUCCUGGCUGGUUGUUUUUUUUAGUAGUUUAUUGUAAUGUUUUUGUACAUUGGUCCGUGGCAAAAAGUCUGGUUUUUAGUAGUGAGAUUAAUGAAUUUUAUGAUUUGGAUA